rnacentral:miRNA from 1 species
CACCCGAAUCGUUGUUCAUUUG